rnacentral:rRNA from 1 species
CCUACGGGAGGCAGCAGUGAGGAAUAUUGGUCAAUGGGCGGGAGCCUGAACCAGCCAAGCCGCGUGAAGGAAGACUGCCCCAUGCGUCGUAAACUUCUUUUGUCGGGGAACAAAGGACGCCACGCGUGGCGUUGUGAGUGUACCCGAAGAAAAAGCAUCGGCUAACUCCGUGCCAGCAGCCGCGGUAAUACGGAGGAUGCGAGCGUUAUCCGGAUUUAUUGGGUUUAAAGGGUGCGUAGGCGGUAGGGAAAGUCAGCGGUAAAAGACCGGGGCUCAACCCCAGAGAGCAGUUGAAACUGUCGGUCUAGAGUGGGCGAGAGGUAGGCGGAAUGCGUGGUGUAGCGGUGAAAUGCAUAGAUAUCGCGCAGAACUCCGAUUGCGAAGGCAGCGUACCGGAG